AUGAACGAGGUGAGUACUGUUCAAGGCCGCCUAAAGAAUGGGGGACCAGGAGACAGGGGCCCCCUCAUGCAGGGUCGGAAAUUAAACACAUGAAAUUGAGCCCCGGGUGGCUUUGCCAAAGAAAAGCAAGGUAGAUUAUGUGCUCAGCACAGCCCUGACAUGAAGGCAGGGCUGAUAAUCCAUCCCUUUUAUUCACACAGUAUGUCGUGGGCCACUUCCAGCUGAAGAAGAAAGCCUGACCUUUGGAGAGGGGCUAUAAAAAGACAGCCACAUUCACUCCUUCUUCCCCACAAUGCACCUUCCACAAAGGAAGACAAGUGAAGGAUCUCCAUGUUCAAGUGAAAGCAUCAGGUUGAAAAAAAAUGUUCAAGCAGACGGAGAGAUCGAACAAAUUGUACAGAGAACGCCCAUCUACCCACCAUUGAGAGUCUACCGUGAAUGUUUAACUUGACCUGCUUCCUCAUGUCUGUCCAUUCACCCACCUCUGUCUCACCCAUCAUUCUAGGUCACUUAAAAAAAAAAAAAAAAAAAANNNNNNN
rnacentral:lncRNA from 1 species